CCUGCGUGAAGUAACAACAGCACAACGUGUGUGUCUCCUUUGUUCAUUCUCACAGGUGGAGGAUAGUUGUCAAUGGCAGCAUAGAUGGCUUCAGUCGCCUUGUUGUGUUCCUCCAUGCGUCCAACCACAACCGCAGCAGCACUGUCUGAGUGCUUCAGAGAGCAGUGGCAAGUGUCUCGCCUCAUCCGCUCCAUCUAUAACAUCCUGUUAGGCAAGAUCACAUUCUCCGAACCAGUGCUGGUCCAGUUCAACUUCAGCCCCGGAGGCUGCAGUGUCAUCCGUUUUCUUGAAAGGCGUCACUGACUCUCCAUCCCAGCCCUGCAUGGCAGUCAAGAAAAAAAAACCCUGAACCAUCCCUGCUUAACUCACCUCCAUGGGAUCCUGCACAUUUUAUGCAUCUCAACAUCAAACAUAUUGAGCCAUACUCUACUUAUCAGAAACUAUCCACAUAGCACCCUACUGCUGCUGAAUUGUUGAUACGUUAUUUAAUAAAUCUGACUUUGUCAGAUAUCUGUCAUGCUUUUGUGUUGUCAGUCAGUCAAUUUUCCAGUGUAACAGUGCAUCUUUAAUAAAAAAAUUAAUUAUUGCAUGAAUUGACAUGAUUUAAAAUGCAUAUAACAAUUUAAUAUUAUUACAACUUUAUGUCCAAUUGAUUCAAGAUCUUAAACGAUAGUAUUUGAAUGUGUUCAGGGAUCUGCUGUGUGAAAAUGUGUUGGCCCAUGUCAAGUUAAGUCAAACGUUGUGCAGACCUGCAAACUCAUAAAAGGUGACAUCUUUAUAAACCCCACCUAGUGAUGUGAUCCAUCAAACAAAUAUGACAAAAACGUUCAAUUUAGUUGCUAUGUACUUUAUAAAGAGCUGGUGGGUGUUGUUUCCAUAGUGUAAACAGUAGAAAUGUCAGAGUUCAGAUUCUAUGAAUAUUCCAAGCCAUCUUCUGGGUCAACUUCUCAGCUGACUGGAAAUGUAAUCAAUGGGGAUAGUGCCUUUUGCUGCCAUUAUUAUGCAGUUUUUUUAUUUUAUUGAGAUAUCACUACUACUUGUUAUGUAGCUCCCUGUAUGAAAGACAACUGUGACUGUCUAAAAUGGUACCAAACGAAUAUUAUUUGGUAGUUUGUAAAUAAAAAAAAUAGCCAAACUAUGUUAAUUAAUCAGGUUUUCAAUCAUAGAGUAUCUUUUUGAAGUAUUUCAACUGAGCAAUUUCUUUACCAAUACUAUGAAUCCUUUUUUCAAGACUUUAUUGUUCUUAGAUUUUUUUUGUUCGCCCACUCAGUAAUUAAGAGUAUAUUUGAAAAUCUUAAUUUAAAUGUAAAUGGUAUUUUUUUUGGCUGCACGUAAAAAAAGACGUAUCCUCUGUCAUAUGUGUCAGUUGACAGGUAAGCCUAACCAGGGCAUUACACCAGCGCCACUGCUAUAAGCGAACUUUAACAAAUCUAUAUUAAAAUCUAUCAAUAUAUCACAAAUAUUGUUGACUUUUCGCUUUACCUUAUUAAACAUCCUUUCCAUAUUUACUGUGAAUAUUUCAAUGUUGGAUCCUGGUUUCCUAUACACACAAAUGACUAUGACAUUCUCAAUUUUUCCCAUACAUAUUUCAAUUGUGAUACAAUCCAUUAAAUCAUCAAUGAUGGCUGACAUGCUUUCAACAACCUUGUAAGUGAGAUCUUUGUCAACAAAGCAAAAAACAGUAAUGCUACCUGGCAAGGUUCACUAAGGUGUUAACAUCAAGUGUUAAUGACUUAUCAGCAUUGUUUCAGAAUAUAACAUUAACAUAGAGAAUGUGGUGUAUUCUUGGUUGUGAUGGAGUUUUUAUUGCGCCUGUACAGUAACGUAAAAUGCAACAGAACAACACAAGAAGUAAAUAAUAUGCAGAAACAGACUUAUUGUGAUUGCCUGUAACGUGGACAUACAAUAUUACUUUUACAG